AGACUAGAGGAUGGUAGAGGGAGGUGGAAUUCCCGGUGUAGUGGUGAAAUGCGUAGAUAUCGGGAGGAACACCAGUGGCGAAGGCGGCCUCCUGGGCCAUUCCUGACGCUAAGACGCGAAAGCUAGGGGAGCAAACGGGAUUAGAAACCCCGGUAGUCCUAGCCAUAAACGAUGUGGACUUGGCGUUGGUGGGGUAAAAGCCAUCAGUGCCGUAGCUAACGCGAUAAGUCCACCGCCUGGGGACUACGACCGCAAGGUUAAAACUCAAAGGAAUUGACGGGGACCCGCACAAGCAGCGGAGCGUGUGGUUUAAUUCGAUCUACGCGAAGAACCUUACCCGGGUUUGACAUACUGGUGGUAGGGAUCCGAAAGGUGACCGACCCUUCGGGGAGCCAGUACAGGUGCUGCAUGGCUGUCGUCAGCUCGUGCCGUGAGGUGUCCGGUUAAGUCCGGUAACGAGCGCAACCCUCGCCGCAUGUUACAUGUGUCAUACGGGACUGCCGGUAUAAAGCCGGAGGAAGGUGGGGAUGACGUCAAGUCAGCAUGGCCUUUAUGUCCGGGGCUACACACACGCUACAAUGGCCAGCACAAUGGGUUGCAAGACCGCAAGGUGGAGCCAAUCCCUAAAGCUGGUCUCAGUUCAGAUUGUAGGCUGCAACUCGCCUACAUGAAGCCGGAGUUGCUAGUAACCGCAGGACAGCUAUACUGCGGUGAAUACGUUCCCGGGUCUUGUACACACCGCCCGUCACGUCAUGGAAGCUGGCAACACCUGAAGCCGGUAUCCUAACCCGCAAGGGAGGGAGCUGCCAAAGGUGGGGCUGGUAACUGGGACGAAGUCGUAACAAGGUAACC
rnacentral:rRNA from 1 species